rnacentral:lncRNA from 1 species
UCUUCUGAGUUUGAUGAACAUAUUUAUGACCAUUAUUUCAGGCAAAACAGCUACCUCUCCCUGUCUUGAAGGACUGGACUUGUGUCAUCACCUGGGGGGUGAGGUUUCCAUGGAUACUGUGUCUCUGUAUCAGCUACCCAUCUCUAUGUGGUCCUCUUAUCAUUUGUUGUGCAGAAGCUGUUCAAUCAUCCCUCAGUUCUUUGGGAGGAAUUGCUCUAUAUAUUUCCGCCUGCACUGUUUUUGGAUUUUGACUUUGUCAGUGCUUUACAACCAAAUAGCAGUUACAAAUUAUUAAAGUCCAGAUGGCCUCAAACUGGGCUCCCACUAAAGUUGUAGCUGAUACCAGGACCUCGAAGUUCUUUUACAGAGAAUAUCAAGAAACCGAAGCUUCCCAGCCCCAACUCCUCGGCUUCCUGAUGUUAGAGUCUACCUUCCACCAUGGAGAUAAACAGCCAAGGACGCUCAUCUAAGAAAGCCUUUGUCUACUCCGCUGGAAGCAGCCCCAGACACAGGCGGAUGGGAAAAUGCUGACCAGCAAGGCCAUGGUUCCCCACCCCUACCUAAAACCCCAAACAGAAACACCUACCUGUUUCUUAAUAGGGAGCAAGCAACCUUUGGGGCACUAGCCCUUGCUGUGCUCCCUCUGCCUGGCAGAGUAAAGCUUUCCUUUUUUUCCCAAGACUGUUCUCGUUAUUUGGAUUAACAUUGGGAUCAGAGACUGAACUUUAGGUAACAACUUCACUUGUGAAAUCUGAGUAACUGCUCUACCUGACAUGUUUGUGAUGAAGAUAAUGUCUGUACAUACGCAUUUAACUCAUUAAAAAUGCCAGAAAAUUAUAAGUGCUAUUAUUAUGGAGCAAUGCCAAGGAUUUUCUCCUCUAUUCCGUGGUUUUAUGGAAGCAGAGCUGUCUUUAACUGCUUUUCUUUUUAGAACAAGUGACCACUACUCCUGUAAGCUGUCAUUAUAGUUUCUCUUAAUUGCAGAAAAAAAUGCCAUCUGAGAUGUGUCUGUUGUCACCUCUAUUAUUAACUGUUGUAAAAUCAGAGAAAACACAUAAUGUUCUUAGGUGUGGGACUGCUCCAGUCACUUUGUGUAUGUAAAAUCUCCUUCAUGUCUCUGCCUCUUACCUUCUUACAAUCUUGAUAUUUCCAUAAAUGUUAUAACUUUGCAGUCAGCAGUUGCCUCUAAACAGGAGCCAUUUCUAAUGCAACAGUUAUUUAAAAUGUUCUCAUUUUUUCUUGAUCAUUAGUACUUUUUAAAAAAACACUGCUAAGGUUUUUGUCAUUUAUAUCUUAAUA